GUCAUAUUGUUUUCAAAGUGUAUUGUAAAAUAAGGCAUAAUUCAAAGUCAAUCUUUGAUUUUAAAGCGCGUCGUUGAGUUGACAGUGUAUUUCAUGCAUUGGUGCAAAGGAAUGGUGAAAAUGUUAUGACCAUGUAAAGAAAAUUGAAAAAGAUUUCAUCAAGCAAGUUUCAGUAAUUGAAAUGCUGAAAAAGCGAUUUAUAUUAUAUUAAUACCUCUUCAACUUGAUCAUCUAUUUGAAGAACAAGAAAUGCAAGUGGAGUUCUUAGAAUCGUUUUCUAGUUCUGAAUGAAGUGAUAAGUUAUAAGUAUGAUACUUAAUAAAAUUAUUUAGGUACAGUAAUAUACGGUUUACUUAUUUUUCAAGACAUGUUCCUAUGUUAAAAACCCGAUGUAUAACAACAUUCUUCAUACACAUACCUAAAAUGUAUAGGUAGGCAUUCGUACUUCAUGUUCAUUAAUAUUAGUCAUAAAUAAAAAUUAAACAGUA